GUGCUCACUCGGCAGCAUAUAUACUAAACUUGGAAUGAUACAAAGAAGAUUAGCAUGACCCUUGUGCAAGGUUGACAUGCAAAUUUGUGAAGCAAUAUUUAA